UGCCUUACACAUGCAAGUCGAACGGCAGCACGGGGGCAACCCUGGUGGCGAGUGGCGAACGGGUGAGUAAUACAUCGGAACGUGUCCUGUAGUGGGGGAUAGCCCGGCGAAAGCCGGAUUAAUACCGCAUACGCUCUACGGAGGAAAGGGGGGGAUCUUAGGACCUCCCGCUACAGGGGCGGCCGAUGGCAGAUUAGCUAGUUGGUGGGGUAAAGGCCUACCAAGGCGACGAUCUGUCGCUGGUCUGAGAGGACGACCAGCCACACUGGGACUGAGACACGGCCCAGACUCCUACGGGAGGCAGCAGUGGGGAAUUUUGGACAAUGGGGGCAACCCUGAUCCAGCAAUGCCGCGUGUGUGAAGAAGGCCUUCGGGUUGUAAAGCUC
rnacentral:rRNA from 1 species